rnacentral:rRNA from 1 species
AUUGAACGCUGGCGGCAUGCCUUACACAUGCAAGUCGAACGGCAGCACGGGAGCAAUCCUGGUGGCGAGUGGCGAACGGGUGAGUAAUAUAUCGGAACGUGCCCAGUCGUGGGGAUAACGUAGCGAAAGCUACGCUAAUACCGCAUACGAUCUAUGGAUGAAAGCGGGGGAUCGCAAGACCUCGCGCGAUUGGAGCGGCCGAUAUCAGAUUAGGUAGUUGGUGAGGUAAAGGCUCACCAAGCCGACGAUCUGUAGCUGGUCUGAGAGGACGACCAGCCACACUGGGACUGAGACACGGCCCAGACUCCUACGGAGGCAGCAGUGGGGAAUUUUGGACAAUGG